GCACUGCUGAGGAGUCCCAAAAUAAAAACGAAACGGCCGUCCAGUGC
rnacentral:hammerhead_ribozyme from 1 species